rnacentral:antisense_RNA from 1 species
GGGCCCAGGGAAAAAAGGCUUGGCCUCAUAGAAGCGGCAAAGGGCUCCUGGGGCAUCUGCAGCCUCCCAGGCCAACAAAAAAGUGGGGGCAGGGAGAGAUGGAGCCGCAAGUUGAGAGGUGUCACAAAGCUGGGAAUGAGGAAAGAGAUCAGGUGCUGGCAGACGCCAGACCCAGAAGAUGCUGUGUAGUCGAGGCUCCAGGUUCCAUGCCAAGGGGCCGGAUUCUCCCUGGUAGUAAACCAUCUCUCAGUCUCUCCUCCAACUAGUAUGUUGGCAACUAAUGGCCUUAAGUUUUCCACAGCCUGGCUUCAUCUUGAGAUGGCUAUUCGUAGAAGUCGCUUUCCCGUUUGCCUGGGCCUCGCCUGCACUCCAGUCCCUGCCUAGGGGCAGUGGUCCCUGUCUCCAAAAGUGGAUGGCAUUUGAGGUAGAAGAGAGUGAAGUCGCUGAAAAUGCCCUAAAACAGCAAGGAAGAAGCUGGAAUAAAACUC